rnacentral:sRNA from 1 species
UGUGCUAGUCCGCAGUGAUUGCAGGGGA